UACGAAGGGGGCUAGCGUUGCUCGGAAUCACUGGGCGUAAAGCGUACGUAGGCGGAUUGUUAAGUCAGGGGUGAAAUCCUGGAGCUCAACUCCAGAACUGCCUUUGAUACUGGCGAUCUUGAGUCCGGGAGAGGUGAGUGGAACUGCGAGUGUAGAGGUGAAAUUCGUAGAUAUUCGCAAGAACACCAGUGGCGAAGGCGGCUCACUGGCCCGGUACUGACGCUGAGGUGCGAAAGCGUGGGGAGCAAACAGG
rnacentral:rRNA from 1 species